rnacentral:ribozyme from 1 species
AUAGUUAGCAUACCUACAGUAUCAAGAGGAAAGAGAGGAGGGAGGAGGAAGAAGAAGAAGACGAAAAGGAUAUAUACGACAAUCAUUUACAAUUAUAUUCAAGAUUUACAAUGAAAUUCUUUUUAUUUUCAUUAUCAACAAUUCUUCUGUCAUUAAUUUU